AUACAAGCAGUGGGAGCACCUUCGUGGUGUGACUGCGUACCUUUUGUAUAAUGGGUCAGCGACUUAUAUUCAGUAGCAAGGUUAACCGUAUAGGGGAGCCGUAGAGAAAUCGAGUCUUAAUAGGGCGUUUAGUUGCUGGGUAUAGACCCGAAACCAGGCGAUCUAUCCAUGAGCAGGUUGAAGGUUGGGUAACACUAACUGGAGGACCGAACCCACUGUCGUUGAAAAGCCAGGGGAUGACUUGUGGAUAGGGGUGAAAGGCUAAUCAAGCCUGGUGAUAGCUGGUUCUCCCCGAAAGCUAUUUAGGUAGCGCCUCGGACGAAUACCAUAGGGGGUAGAGCACUGUUUCGGCUAGGGGGUCAUCCCGACUUACCAAACCGAUGCAAACUCCGAAUACCUAUGAGUACUAUCCGGGAGACAGACUGCGGGUGCUAACGUCCGUAGUCAAGAGGAAAACAAUCCAGACCGCCAGCUAAGGCCCCAAAAUCAUAGUUAAGUGGGAAACGAUGUGGGAAGGCAUAGACAGCUAGGAGGUUGGCUUAGAAGCAGCCACCCUUUAAAGAAAGCGUAAUAGCUCACUAGUCGAGUCGGCCUGCGCGGAAGAUGUAACGGGGCUAAAACUAUGUGCCGAAGCUGCGGAUUUGACAUUAGUCAAGUGGUAGGGGAGCGUUCUGUAAGCCGAUGAAGGUGUAUUGAGAAGUAUGCUGGAGGUAUCAGAAGUGCGAAUGCUGACGUGAGUAACGACAAAACGGGUGAAAAACCCGUUCGCCGAAAGACCAAGGGUUCCAGUCCAACGUUAAUCGGGGCUGGGUGAGUCGACCCCUAAGGCGAGGCCGAAAGGCGUAGUCGAUGGGAAAAUGGUUAAUAUUCCAUUACUUCUGUGUAAUGCGAUGAGAGGACGGAGAAGGCUAAAUCAGCCUGGCGUUGGUUGUCCAGGUGAAAGGAUGUAGGCAUGUAUCUUAGGCAAAUCCGGGGUACUCUAUGCUGAGAUCUGAUAGCAAGCUGUACUUGUACAGCGAAGUGGUUGAUGCCAUGCUUCCAGGAAAAGUCUCUAAGCUUCAGUUACACAGGAAUCGUACCCGAAACCGACACAGGUGGUCAGGUCGAGUAGACCAAGGCGCUUGAGAGAACUCUGCUGAAGGAACUAGGCAAAAUGGUACCGUAACUUCGGGAGAAGGUACGCUGUUGUUGGUGAUGGAACUCGCUUCCUGAGCUGACGACAGCCGCAGAAACCAGGCCGCUGCAACUGUUUAUUAAAAACAUAGCACUCUGCAAACACGAAAGUGGACGUAUAGGGUGUGAUGCCUGCCCGGUGCUGGAAGGUUAAUUGAUGGGGUUAGCGUAAGCGAAGCUCUUGAUCGAAGCCCCAGUAAACGGCGGCCGUAACUAUAACGGUCCUAAGGUAGCGAAAUUCCUUGUCGGGUAAGUUCCGACCUGCACGAAUGGCAUAAUGAUGGCGGCGCUGUCUCCAGCAGAGGCUCAGUGAAAUCGAAAUCGCUGUGAAGAUGCAGUGUACCCGCGGCUAGACGGAAAGACCCCGUGAACCUUUACUGCAGCUUGACACUGAACUUUGACCUUACUUGUGUAGGAUAGGUGGGAGGCUUUGAAGCUGGAACGCUAGUUCCAGUGGAGCCGUCCUUGAAAUACCACCCUGGUAAUGUUGAGGUUCUAACUCUGUCCCGUGAUCCGGGACGAGGACCGUGUCUGGUGGGUAGUUUGACUGGGGCGGUCUCCUCCUAAAGAGUAACGGAGGAGUACGAAGGUGCGCUCAGCGUGGUCGGAAAUCACGCGUAGAGUAUAAAGGCAAAAGCGCGCUUAACUGCGAGACCCACAAGUCGAGCAGGUACGAAAGUAGGUCUUAGUGAUCCGGUGGUUCUGUAUGGAAGGGCCAUCGCUCAACGGAUAAAAGGUACUCUGGGGAUAACAGGCUGAUACCGCCCAAGAGUUCAUAUCGACGGCGGUGUUUGGCACCUCGAUGUCGGCUCAUCUCAUCCUGGGGCUGAAGCAGGUCCCAAGGG
rnacentral:rRNA from 1 species